rnacentral:tRNA from 1 species
GGGGUUGUGGCUCAGUGGUAGAGCACUUGCCUAGCUAGCAUGCAUGAGGCACUGGGUUUGAAUCUCAGCACCA